UGGUCAUUUGUGACGGCCGCCUGAGGAAACUCAUCCAGGAAGUAUCUUGAAAGGCUAGCAAAGGAUGCCUGAGUGGAUCUUAGGGGACAUCCGGUGAACACAUAGCCAUCAUGCCACAGAUGGCAAAACUGAGGGCAAAACAAAGACUUGAAGCUCCAGCACCAGACACAAAGGCAGCAGGCUCGUGGAGGCUGUUCAACCAGCUCCUGAAAGUGCAUACGGCAAAAUCCCU